GCUUGUCUCAAAGAUUAAGCCAUGCAUGUCUAAGUACAAGCCUCAGUAAGGUGAAACCGCGAAUGGCUCAUUAAAUCACACCUAAUCUACUGGAAAGUUACUAGUUACUUGGAUAACUGAGGUAAUUCUAGAGCUAAUACAUGCGAAAAGACCCGACUUUUUGGAAGGGUUGUAUUUAUUAGAUACAAAACCAAUGCGGAGCAAUCCGGUUUAUGGUGAUUCAUAAUAACUUUUGCGGAUCGCAUGGCCUUGCGCCGGCGAUGAAUCAUUCAAAUUUCUGCCCUAUCAACUUUCGAUGGUAAGGUAUUGGCCUACCAUGGUUACCACGGGUAACGGGGAAUUAGGGUUCGGUUCCGGAGAGGGCGCCUGAGAAAUGGCGACCAC
rnacentral:rRNA from 1 species